UUCUUUGCGGCAAUAAAAAAACAGUGAGCAAGGUCUUCUCUGUACGAGAGGAUCGGUUUCCAACUCGCAUUUCAAGUUUAUAGGAGAAAAUAAUUACCUGACAAAACGAUGUUACUUCAUACAGAUGUCUGAAAUGUUAUAAGAUGGAGAGAAAAGAUAGAAACAAACAUGGUGAUGGGAUUUUGAUAUAUGUAAGAGAUGACCUACAUUUUAGAAGGAGGGAAGAAUUUGAAUAAAUACCAACACACUAGAAGUUCCUAGAGUAAACACAGAGACUUAUG